rnacentral:lncRNA from 1 species
UCAUUAUUUUCUUCCAUGGGUUUGCUUAUCUAGAACUUGCCUUGAUUCUCUUUGAAGCCAUAUUGAUACAUGCAUGCAUGAACAUUAUUAAAGGCAUCUUUGUUGUAUAAGUUAGCCACCCUAGCCAAAUAACCUACGUUGCAAUUAAUUUCACUCUUUGUUGAGCCCCUUUGAACCUUAUUGCCUUUUCUUUGGUAAACCCAACUUACAAGCUUUAAACCUAAAAAACAAUAUCUUUGCCCAAGCCAUAGAGCUAGUGGAGUAUUGUUCAUCAUUUUGAUACAUAUGGGUGUGUGAGAAAAAUAAGUGUGGGAGUGUAUGAAUUUAUGGUAGGACUAUGAUUGGUGGAAUGGAACAUGAUUUCAAUUUCAAUUCAUAAGUUCCAUUACUAGUACAAUGUUUUUGAGAUUGAAAAAAAAAUAAAAAAAUAAAAAAAUAUAGAAGUGGGAAAAGGAAAAGAAAAGAAGUGACGGAGGAAAAGGGUUUUUAAUGUUACUAAUUAUCCUAUGUUUGUGAUUCUUCCUAACAUGACAAGAAAGGGUUUGGCUUGUGUGAAAUAGAUGAAACACACACACACACAUAUGUAUAUAUUUGAGCUUAAGUUAAUUCAAUUUUUGCUCCAAUAGUUUUGAGGGCUUUUAAGUUACAUACCCAAUAUUUCCCACCUUGACCUUAAGCCACGUUACAACCCUUGAAAAGACAUUAUGAUUCGUGAUAUGCAUGUUAUCUAAGUGGUAGACAAUGAGAAGAUAUAUGAAAGCAUAUGGUAGAACAUUUUCAUUGGAAUAAAUUUGAGCGAAAAACUUAUCCUUUAAAUACAUGAAAGUUGAGUGCUUAUAUCACGUGAGGGUCUACAUGUUCGGUUCACUCCAUCUUCAUAUGAAAAUGCUUGCGAAUUGAAGUUGUGUGAGAAUGUUUGUUCAUGAUAUGAUAUAUGCUUUGAAGAGUUUGGUUGUUCUAUGUGAUGGCAUUGGAAUCUUAAUAUCUUUGUAAAAGUAAAUUUGAGUUUUACUCAAGGACGAGAAAAGCAAAGUGUGGGAAAAUUUAAUAAGGACGUAAAUUGUUAUGUUUUUCAUCCAUUAAUACUUACAUUUUAUGAUUAAUUUAUGCCUAAAUGUACUUAGUACCAAUAUAUUUUGAUUUAGGUUGCAAAUGGAUGGAAAUUGUGGAAUUGGGAAGAAAAGAUCGAAAAUAGACCAAAAUGGAAGAAAGUGAAAGUUCAGGGACCAAGUUGCAAAUAAUCCAUAGAUGAGAUGGAUGAUGGAAUGAAGAUUCAAGAGUGUUAGGGAUCAAUCGGAUGAGGAAUGAAGUCAAAGAGAUAAAAUAUAGUUGAAAUAUUAUCACAUAUCAACUUUUAGACGAAAAAGUUAUGCUUAAGAUUAUUAGUCUCUGGUUGAGACCCAUUUUUGGCAUAGUAAACGUCGGAAUUAGAAAAAGUCUAUUUCUAGAAAAAUUGUAGAUCUUUACGUUCACUUUUCAACAUAUUUUGAAUCUCCUCAAUGGAACAUCGAAACAAAAAAUUAUGGCUAAAAUACUAAAAACUGUUCAGCUGAGAAAAAUGCUAGAGCCAUGCGACCGCAUAGCAUUAAAGCCAUUUGGUCGCACAGCCUAUUUCAGAAAAUUCUUAGGUUGAAA